rnacentral:rRNA from 1 species
GACGAACGCUGGCGGCGUGCUUGACACAUGCAAGUCGAACGGAAAGGCCCUGCUUUUGUGGGGUGCUCGAGUGGCGAACGGGUGAGUAACACGUGAGUAACCUGCCCUUGACUUUGGGAUAACUUCAGGAAACUGGGGCUAAUACCGGAUAGGAGCUCCUGCUGCAUGGUGGGGGUUGGAAAGUUUCGGCGGUUGGGGAUGGACUCGCGGCUUAUCAGCUUGUUGGUGGGGUAGUGGCUUACCAAGGCUUUGACGGGUAGCCGGCCUGAGAGGGUGACCGGCCACAUUGGGACUGAGAUACGGCCCAGACUCCUACGGGAGGCAGCAGUGGGGAAUAUUGCACAAUGGGCGGAAGCCUGAUGCAGCAACGCCGCGUGCGGGAUGACGGCCUUCGGGUCGUAAACCGCUUUCGCCUGUGACGAAGCGUGAGUGACGGUAAUGGGUAAAGAAGCACCGGCUAACUACGUG